rnacentral:rRNA from 1 species
GUAGGGAAUAUUGCGCAAUGGACGAAAGUCUGACGCAGCGACGCCGCGUGAGUGAUGAAGGCCUUAGGGUCGUAAAGCUCUGUUGAAUGGGAAGAAAAAAAUGACGGUACCAUUCGAGGAAGGACCGGCUAACUUCGUGCCAGCAGCCGCGGUAAUACGAGGGGUCCUAGCGUUGUUCGGAAUCAUUGGGCGUAAAGGGUGUGUAGGUGGCCAUGUAAGUCAGGUGUGAAAGCGCCGGGCUCAACCCGGGAAGUGCACUUGAUACUGCGUGGCUUGAGUACCGAAGAGGGUAGUGGAAUUCCAGGUGUAGUGGUGAAAUACGUAGAUAUCUGGAGGAACACCGGUGGCGAAGGCGGCUACCUGGUCGAGUACUGACACUGAGACACGAAAGCAUGGGGAUCAAACAGGAUUAGAAACCCGGGUAGUCC